rnacentral:tRNA from 6 species
GCCCCCAUCGUCCAGGGGAUAGGACACCGCCCUUUCACGGCGGCGACAGGGGUUCAAAUCCCCUUGGGGGCACCA